AGAAUCAACGCUGGCGGCGUGCCUAACACAUGCAAGUCGAACGAGAAAGUGGAGCAAUCCAUGAGUAAAGUGGCGACCGGGUGAGUAACACGUGACUAACCUACCUUCGAGUGGGGGAUAACCUCGGGAAACCGGGGCUAAUACCGCAUAACAUCUUUGGAGUGGAAAUUCUGGAGAUCAAAGGAGCAAUUCGCUGGAAGAGGGGGUCGCGGCUGAUUAGCUAGUUGGCGGGGUAACGGCCCACCAAGGCUUAGAUCGGUAGCCGGCCUGAGAGGGCGCACGGCCACACUGGAACUGAAACACGGUCCAGACUCCUACGGGAGGCAGCAGUGGGGAAUUUUGCGCAAUGGGGGAAACCCUGACGCAGCAACGCCGCGUGGAGGAUGAAGCCCCUUGGGACGUAAACUCCUUUCGACCCGGACGAUAAUGACGGUACGGGUGGAAGAAGCCCCGGCUAACUUCGUGCCAGCAGCCGC
rnacentral:rRNA from 1 species